rnacentral:rRNA from 1 species
UACGGAGGGGGCUAGCGUUGUUCGGAAUUACUGGGCGUAAAGCGCACGUAGGCGGCUUUGCAAGUUAGAGGUGAAAGCCCGGGGCUCAACUCCGGAAUUGCCUUUAAAACUGCAUCGCUAGAAUUGUGGAGAGGUAAGUGGAAUUCCGAGUGUAGAGGUGAAAUUCGUAGAUAUUCGGAAGAACACUAGUGGCGAAGGCGACUUACUGGACACAUAUUGACGCUGAGGUGCGAAAGCGUGGGGAGCAAACAGG